GAUGAACGCUGGCGGCGUGCUUAACACAUGCAAGUCGAACGAAGAAGCCCAGCUUGCUUGGUGGGUUAGAGGGGCGAGGGUGAGUAACACGCGAGAAAAAUGCCCCUUACUCUGUGAUAAACCUUGGGGAAUGGGUGUCAUACAGCGUAUGAGAGCCUACCGCGUAUUGGGGGUUUGGGAGAUUUUCGGCGGUUGGGUAUGCUCGCGCGGCUUAACAGCUUUUUGGUGGGGUAGUGGCUCACCAAGGCGGCGACGGGUAGCCGGCCUGAGAGGGUGACCGGCCACACUGGGACUGAGACACGGCCCAGACUCCUACGGGAGGCAGCAGUGGGGAAUAUUGCACAAUGGGCGAAAGCCUGAUGCAGCGACGCCGCGUGAGGGAUGACGGCCUUCGGGUUGUAAACCUCUUUCAGUAGGGAAGAAGCGAAAGUGACGGUACUGGGAGAAGAAGCACCGGCUAACUACGUG
rnacentral:rRNA from 1 species